CUGCGGGAGGCGGUGGCGGUAGGAAGCCAGAGGCAGCGGGGUGACAGGGCUGAGAACUCAACAGACACUUAUUCUCAGACCUUUACCAGGUGUGAAUUUCUGCACUGACUGCUGACCACUGAAGAAAGAAGCUUCUCUGGCCAAGGUUGAGGAGAGCACUAAUACGUAGAGUUGGAAAAUAUUUAACUCUCAACAAAUGAAUUCCAUACUUGAAUUCUGCAGCAUUCCUGUGCCACCUCCUCCUUUAGAAAACCUAUCUUAAAACAGAGAUAAAAGAAGAAUAGAAGGUAAAGAAAGAUGCUGGGAUCAGAUCGUGGUGUUGUGGAAGAAUGGUUGUCGGAAUUCAAGG